rnacentral:rRNA from 1 species
CCGAGAAUAUUCGACAAUGCGCGAAAGCGUGAUCGAGCGACGCCGCGUGAUGGAUGAAGUGCUUCGGCAUGUAAACAUCUUUUGUACGCUAGAAAGUUAUUGAUCAGCGUAAGAAUAAGGAGUUGCUAAACUCGUGCCAGCAGCAGCGGUAAUACGAGUGCUCCAAGCGUUAUCCGGAAUUAUUGGGCGUAAAGGGUGUGUAGGUGGUUGUGUUAGUCUUUUGUUAAAUUCUUCGGCUUAACCGGGGGCAUGCGAGAGAAACGGCACAACUAGAGGAUGCGAGAGGUAAAUGGAACUCAUGGAGUAGGGGUGAAAUCCGUUGAUAUCAUGGGGAACACCAAAAGCGAAGGCAAUUUACUGGCGCACUCCUGACACUGAAACACGAAAGCGUAGGUAGCGA